GCGGUGCUCAAGCUGCGCUCACAAACGUUCGCUCUCUUAAGGCUUGAAACGAGUUUCUUGAGAGAUCACGACAGCGUGACUCAAGAGUCGCAGCAGUUCUUAUUGCGUUUUCAGUCUGUGAGCAACUGCGUGAGUCGUACGACGAUCUGCGAAUUACCGAAUCAUCGAACGAUCGAUCUACAGAUCGUGUGGCUCGUUAUUGAAGUGCAUUCAAAAUCAAAUAUGUUCGGCAAGUGUUUAGACAUUCAGAACUCGGAAGUUUGUGUAGAACUAAUAACAUAAAUAUGAUGUAGUUGAGAAUGUGUUUACUGAUCUUCAACAAAUUGGGAUUGCGAAGGCGGCAGGCGACAGGCAACAGGAGGUAGUUGGCGGGCGGCAACGGCCACAAAAAGUUGCAAGUCGCAAGUCGAAGCUCAGGUACCUCCGCAGUGGCAGUUCAAGAUGUUGCCGACGCGCGCACAAUGUGCGGCUUUAAGAAAUGCCGAAUUCCAGAAGCUGCAGUACAAUCAGUUGAAUUAAAAAACGAGCCCACAUCGGCAGAGAGAGAGAGAGAUACAGCGGCGGAGUGAAAGAGAUCGAGCGAGGACAACAGCGACGGCGACGAUAUCAUCGCGCAGCUGCGACGACCUAGGAAAUUAAGAGGACAUUGUGGCGGCAUGUGGUUAGAACUUAGCUCGCGCGGCGGCUUAAACAACGAAAUCCAAUGGCUGGCUAGCCACAGCCACAGCUACAGCCACAGACAAGACCGAGUCCAGUUCAUGCCACGCAAGAUUCUUUGCGUUGCUUCGCUGUGCUGCGCGUUGUUGGUGGCGACUCUCGAUGCCUGACAGAGGUCGCCCUCGUACGUAAUCGUCGGCGAGCACAUUCGCAAAUGCUUUUGUGCCGUCUGUUUGCCUGUCUGAGCUGCCUUGCUUUGCCUUGUGCUGCGCACGUGGCCAACUUGGUGACGCUUGGCCCCAAAAACAACUACAGCAGCAACAGCAGCAGCAGCAACUGCGGCAGCAAAUCAUUGAAAUGUCGUUAGAGGCUCGGGCGGCACGCGGCUGCGAUAGUCAGGCGAACCGCAAAAUGCUUUUAAUUUCUCAAACUGAUAUGUACUUUGGCCAACCGAAGCCGAAGUCAAACCAGAAGCAGAAGCCGGAGGGCAGCGAGUGGAGCAUCGAAUGGAGCUACCGGUUAAGCAAUUGCAAUUGAGCGAACUCGCUUCGUGAUUGGCUAUAAGUUCGUGGAGCACAGAUUUCAGCAACAAUAAAUUAAAGUAGAGAAGCGUAUUCAUGCUCACUCUCUACCCCAAUUAUAUUCUACAUUAUAAAUGCGAUCCUAAUUUGGAUCCAUGCUAAUUUCUUUGUAUAUUUUGUAUAUUGUCUGAAACUGUCGCAGUUCGAAAGUUCACAAUUUGCAACUUUUAUUUGAAUAAAAAGCAUGCUCAGAAGCCAACAAACUACAAACAUGAUUUUUUUACUCAUUUUAUUAUUAACAAAAAGAAGUGAACGUGGGCGUUUGUGAUGCGCAGGUGAGCGACCAUAGAAGGUAAUGCUAUAUAGUCAAAACACCCUCGCAGCCAAGUGAUGUGAUUACGAGAGUUUGCUAUACAUAAUCGUUGUAUAAUACAUCGAAAAAGUUUUCCAGUAACAAGAGAACGACAGCAACUAGAGCUAGAGCUAGAGGUAGAGCUCUAGAGAUAGAGAUAGAGACAACCCACUGCAAUGUGAGCAAUUAACCUUGGCUGGACUUGGAGUUGGCGGCGAUGCCAGCAGAGAACGACCUACAGCAGCCAAACAAAACAACAAACAAACAGAUACGACAACAACAAGAAGGUUUAAGGUUUAUCAGUCAAUUGAGUAACUGACAAUAUCGGAAAGUGAUGACGUAUCUGUCGAAUACCCUUCGCAGAGACAACAAGUGUAUGUUAGAAGUGAUAAUGCUGGCAAAUUUAAUAGGGUAUCAUAAAGUCAAUAAGCAUCGCUCACCGCACACCUACUUCUUUGUUGUGCGUGUGUGCUGUGCUGUGCUGUGUGUGACCUGAAGCGGCGUUGGUGUCACACCCACAGCAUUUGCGUGGUGGCUGCCGCUUGCUUGGUUGCCGUUGCCGCUUGCUUGGUUCAUUCAUCGUCUCCAGUUGAAUGAAACGACAGCUGGCCGCAGUCUCAGUCUGAGACGUAGACGGAGACAGAGA